rnacentral:rRNA from 1 species
CCUACGGGGUGCUGCAGUGAGGAAUAUUGGUCAAUGGGCGCGAGCCUGAACCAGCCAAGUAGCGUGAAGGAUGACUGCCCUCCGGUUUGUAAACUUCUUUUAUAAAGGAAUUAAGUGAGGCACGUGUGCCUUUUUGUAUGUACUUUAUGAAUAAGGAUCGGCUAACUCCGUGCCAGCAGCAGCGGUAAUACGGAGGAUCCGAGCGUUAUCCGGAUUUAUGGGGUUUAAAGGGAGCGUAGAUGGGUUUUUAAGUCAGUUGUGAAAGUUUGCGGCUCAACCGUAAAAUUGCAAUUGAUACUGGCAGCCUUGAGUACAGUUGAGGUAGGCGGAAUUCGUGGUGUAGAGGUGAAAUGCUUAGAUAUCACGAAGAACUCCGAGUGCGAAGGCAGCUUACUAAACUGCCACUGACAUUGAUGCUCGAAAGUGUGGGUAUCAAACAGGAUUAGAUACCCUUGUAGUC